UGGGGAAUUUUGCACAAUGGGGGAAACCCUGAUGCAGCGACGCCGCGUGAUUUAGAAGGCCUUCGGGUUGUAAAAAUCUUUUCUAUGGGAAGAAAAUGACAGUACCAUAGGAAUAAGGACCGGCUAAUUACGUGCCAGAAGCCGCGGUAAUACGUAAGGUCCGAGCGUUGUCCGGAAUCAUUGGGCGUAAAGGGUACGUAGGCGGGUAAGCAAGUUAGAAGUGAAAUCCUAUAGCUCAACUAUAGUAAGCUUUUAAAACUGCUCAUCUUGAGGUAUGGAAGGGAAAGUGGAAUUCCUAGUGUAGCGGUGAAAUGCGCAGAUAUUAGGAGGAAUACCGGUGGCGAAGGCGACUUUCUGGCCAUAACCUGACGCUGAGGUACGAAAGCGUGGGUAGCAAACAGG
rnacentral:rRNA from 1 species